GUACAGGGGUGGCUGCGAAGGCCUGUUUGGAGGAGAUAACUCGUAUGUAAACUUGGUAGUGCUCUUGACUAACUAGCAACUGAAAGGAGAGACACAGGGGCGGGCUUUCUUCCUCCUCCCCCCCCCUUGUCUGCAGUUCCCCGCAAAUGAGAGUCAAGGGUUGAUGUUUUGUGCCUUAUUACGCAGGCGCAGCUCAAAAGUUCCAUCCCCACACUAGGGUGAUUUGAUAGGUGAUUUACUCGCAUCUAUAACUAAAGCCUAUACUCCGUACAUUGUUCACAUGUCCAUGAUGUGAAAGAUAAAUUCAAGGUAAUUUACUAGGGCGGGAACGAACUUUUGAAGUACGCCUCCGUACUCGUAUUCUUCUUAUCAUUGCUGUUGUUGACCUGGCUAAAUUGAUCCGGACCCAUCUUUUUUUUUGCUAGGUUCUUUCCUCUCGACUGUUUUGACUCUGGGUGGCUCAGCGAAGAGAAGUUUGGAUCUUAGGCCCCUUGCAGUUGUUCGCAUUCUGUGGGGCAAGUCCGCACAGCACUGUACAUGUACUGUACAUAGUAAAAUAGGGGAGA
rnacentral:sRNA from 1 species